rnacentral:misc_RNA from 1 species
AACCAUUCUCACCUGCGGCUAGACCUGCGGAGGGAUCAUUACCACACCUAAAAAACUUUCCACGUGAACUGUCUUAUUUAGUUUUGUGUUGUUGCGGAAUGUUUUGUGCGCUUUAUUGUGUGCAUUAUAUUCUGUAGCGACUGAACGAAGGUUGGUUGAGUGUUGUCUUUGCGUACUUGAUUGUAUGCGGGAUAUACACCACCAGCUGACUUAUUUUUUCAACCCCAUUACAUAAGAAAC